rnacentral:SRP_RNA from 1 species
GCCAGGCGUGGUGGCGCACGCCUGUAAUCCCAGCUACUCAGGAGGCUGAGACAGGAGAAUCACUUGAACCCGGGAGGCAGAGGUUGCAGUGAGCCAAGAUCAUGCCACUGCAUUCCAGCCUGGGCGACAGAGUAAGACUUUGUCUCAA